rnacentral:rRNA from 1 species
GGACCCGCACAAGCAGCGGAGCAUGUGGUUUAAUUCGAAGCAACGCGAAGAACCUUACCAGGGCUUGACAUCCCUCUGACGAUGCAGGUAAUGCUGCAUUUCUCUUCGGAGCAGAGGUGACAGGUGGUGCAUGGUUGUCGUCAGCUCGUGUCGUGAGAUGUUGGGUCAAGUCCCGCAACGAGCGCAACCCCUGCCAUUAGUUGCCAUCACUAAGCUGGGCACUCUAAUGGGACUGCCGGGGACAACCCGGAGGAAGGCGGGGAUGACGUCAAAUCAUCAUGCCCCUUAUGUCCUGGGCGACACACGUGCUACAAUGGCCGGCACAGAGGGAAGCCAAACCGCGAGGUGGAGCGAAACCCCAAAGCCGGCCCCAGUUCGGACUGCAGGCUGAAACCCGCCUGCACGAAGCCGGAGUUGCUAGUAAUCGCGGAUCAGAAUGCCGCGGUGAAUGCGUUCCCGGGUCUU